GAUUGGCGAUCCGUUGGAUAUCGACCGAGUUAUAGUCAAAACUUGGUGCAAAAAUGAAGAAAAUUUUACAUUUUCAUACACAGGGUAUGGAACUUGGUUCCUCGAAUAACUGCUGGCACAGACAUUUGAGGGCAUGGCCGUCCAAGAAGAAAAUGUAGCCAUUGGUGCCAUCUAUCGACCACAGGUUAAAGAUUGGCGAUCCGUUGGAUACCGACCGAGUUAUAGACAAAACUUGGUGCAAAAAUGAGCCUUAGUAAAUUUUCAUUUGUUUGAAUUUUUUGAUUUUUUUAUUAUUUUUUACUCUUUUUUUUAUUUAAAACAUUAUUUGAGUGAAAAGAAACUUAUUGCAACCAAUUGGCAUUAAAAUAAAUCAAUUUCAUUUUUUUGCAAAAUUUCUCAAAAAAAACGUAAGGGGUAAGCCUUAUGAAAUUUUCGAGUUGAAAUUUUUUUUUAAAUUUUUUUCUGAUUUUUUAUUCUUUUUUUAAUUUAAAGCAUUAUUUGAGUGAAAAGAAACGUAUUGCAACAAAUUCGCAUUCAAAUAUAUCACAUUUAUACAUUUUUCGGAUUUCGGAUACAUUUUCUCAAACAGGGUAUGGAACUUGGUUCCUCGAAUAACUUCUGCCACAGACAUCUGAGGGCAUGGCCGUCCAAGAAGAAAAUGUAGCCAUUGGUGCCAUCUACAAACCACAGGUUAAAGAUUGGCGAUCCGUUGGAUACCGACCGAGUUAUAGACAAAACUUGGUGCAAAAAUGAGGAAAAUUUUACAUUUUCUCAAACAGGGUAUGGAACUUGGUUCCUCGAAUAACUUCUGGCACAGACAUCUGAGGGCAAGGCCGUCCAAGAAGAAAAUGUAGCCAUUGAUGCCAUCUACAAACCACAGGUUAAAGAUUGGCGAUCCGUUGGAUACCGACCGAGUUAUAGGCAAAACUUGGUGCAAAAAUGAGGAAAAUUUUACAUUUUCUCAAACAGGGUAUGGAACUUGGUUCCUCGAAUAACUUCUGGCACAGACAUCUGAGGGCAAGGCCGUCCAAGAAGAAAAUGUAGCCAUUGAUGCCAUCUACAAACCACAGGUUAAAGAUUGGCGAUCCGUUGGAUACCGACCGAGUUAUAGACAAAACUUGGUGCAAAAAUGAGCCUUAGUAAAUUUUCAUUUGUUUGAAUUUUUUGAUUUUUUUAUUAUUUUUUACUCUUUUUUUAUUUAAAACAUUAUUUGAGUGAAAAGAAACUUAUUGCAACCAAUUGGCAUUAAAAUAAAUCAAUUUCAUUUUUUUUGCAAAAUUUCUCAAAAAAAACGUAAGGGGUAAGCCUUAUGAAAUUUUCGAGUUGAAAUUUUUUUUUUAAUUUUUUUCUGAUUUUUUAUUCUUUUUUUUAUUUAAAGCAUUAUUUGAGUGAAAAGAAACGUAUUGCAACAAAUUUGCAUUCAAAUAUAUCACAUUUAUAAAUUUUACUACAUUGCUCAAAAUUGAGGAAAAUUUUACAUUUUCUCAAACAGGGUAUGGAACUUGGUUCCCCGAAUAACUUCUGGCACAGACAUCUGAGGGCAAGGCCGUCCAAGAAGAAAAUGUAGCCAUUGGUGCUAUCUACCGGCCACAGGUUAAAGAUUGGCGAUCCGUUGGAUACCGACCGAGUUGUAGGCAAAACUUGGUGCAAAAAUGAGCUUUAGUAAAUUUUCAUUUGUUUGAAUUUUUUGAUUUUUUUAUUAUUUUUUACUCUUGUUUUUUUAUUUAAAACAUUAUUUGAGUGAAAAGAAACGUAUUGCAACAAAUUCGCAUUAAAAUAUAUCACAUUUAUAAAUUUUUCGGAUUUCGGAUACAUUUUCACAAACAGGGUAUGGAACUUGCUUCCUCGAAUAACUUCUGGCACAGACAUCUGAGGGCAUGGCCAUCCAAUAAGAAAAUGUAGCCAUUGGCGCCAUCUACCGACCCUUUUGUUGUUUGCCCUUCAUCCGAUAUGCUCAUACCGGAAAGAGGUGAGUUUGGCCUCCUAAGUGAAUGCUCUCUUGGUGUCGAAGAAAGCUUUUGUACUGGAGACGAACAAUACUUUACUUGUCAUACUACUUACUCAC